CGGAGGAGCAUGUGGUUAAUUCGAUGAUACGCGAGGAACUUACCUGGGCUCGAACGUAAGAUGACUGUAGGUGAAAGCUUACAUCUCUUCGGAGCAUUUUACGAGGUGCUGCAUGGUUGUCGUCAGCUCGUGCCGUGAGGUGUCGGGUUAAGUCCCAUAACGAGCGCAACCCCUACCUUUAGUUGCCAUCAGGUUAAGCUGGGGACUCUAAAGGAACUGCCUACGCAAGUAGUGAGGAAGGCGGGGAUGACGUCAAAUCAGCACGGCCCUUACGUCCAGGGCUACACACGUGCUACAAUGGCCGAUACAGAGGGCAGCUACCUGGUGACAGGAUGCAAAUCUCCAAAGUCGGUCUCAGUUCGGAUCGGAGUCUGCAACCCGACUCCGUGAAGUUGGAUUCGCUAGUAAUCGCGCAUCAGCCAUGGCGCGGUGAAUACGUUCCCGGGCCUU
rnacentral:rRNA from 1 species